GACGAACGCUGGCGGCGUGCUUAACACAUGCAAGUCGAACGGAAAGGCCCUGCUUUUGUGGGGUGCUCGAGUGGCGAACGGGUGAGUAACACGUGAGUAACCUGCCCUUGACUUUGGGAUAACUUCAGGAAACUGGGGCUAAUACCGGAUAGGAGCUCCUGCUGCAUGGUGGGGGUUGGAAAGUUUCGGCGGUUGGGGAUGGACUCGCGGCUUAUCAGCUUGUUGGUGGGGUAGUGGCUUACCAAGGCUUUGACGGGUAGCCGGCCUGAGAGGGUGACCGGCCACAUGGGGACUGAGAGACGGCCCAGACUCCUACGGGAGGCAGCAGGGGGGAAUAUUGCACAAUGGGCGGAAGCCUGAUGCAGCAACGCCGCGUGCGGGAUGACGGCCUUCGGGUUGGAAACCGCUUUCGCCUGUGACGAAGCGUGAGUGACGGUAAUGGGUAAAGAAGCACCGGCUAACUACGUG
rnacentral:rRNA from 1 species